UACGUAGGGUGCAAGCGUUGUCCGGAAUUAUUGGGCGUAAGAGCUUGUAGGCGGUUUGUCGCGUCUGCUGUGAAAAUCCGGGGCUCAACCCCGGACUUGCAGUGGGUACGGGCAGACUAGAGUGUGGUAGGGGAGACUGGAAUUCCUGGUGUAGCGGUGAAAUGCGCAGAUAUCAGGAGGAACACCGAUGGCGAAGGCAGGUCUCUGGGCCACUACUGACGCUGAGAAGCGAAAGCAUGGGGAGCGAACAGG
rnacentral:rRNA from 1 species